CAGAAUUCGCCCUUAGAGUUUGAUCCUGGCUCAGGAUGAACGCUGGCGGCGCGCCUAACACAUGCAAGUCGAACGGCACCUGCCCUCGGGCAGAAGCGAGUGGCGAACGGCUGAGUAACACGUGGAGAACCUGCCCCCUCCCCCGGGAUAGCCGCCCGAAAGGACGGGUAAUACCGGAUACCCCGGGAUGCCGCAUGGCACCCCGGCUAAAGCCCCGACGGGAGGGGAUGGCUCCGCGGCCCAUCAGGUAGACGGCGGGGUGACGGCCCACCGUGCCGACAACGGGUAGCCGGGUUGAGAGACCGACCGGCCAGAUUGGGACUGAGACACGGCCCAGACUCCUACGGGAGGCAGCAGUGGGGAAUCUUGCGCAAUGGGGGGAACCCUGACGCAGCGACGCCGCGUGCGGGACGGAGGCCUUCGGGUCGUAAACCGCUUUCAGCAGGGAAGAGUCAAGACUGUACCUGCAGAAGAAGCCCCGGCUAACUACGUGCCAGCAGCCGCGGUAAUACGUAGGGGGCGAGCGUUAUCCGGAUUCAUUGGGCGUAAAGCGCGCGUAGGCGGCCCGGCAGGCCGGGGGUCGAAGCGGGGGGCUCAACCCCCCGAAGCCCCCGGAACCUCCGCGGCUUGGGUCCGGUAGGGGAGGGUGGAACACCCGGUGUAGCGGUGGAAUGCGCAGAUAUCGGGUGGAACACCGGUGGCGAAGGCGGCCCUCUGGGCCGAGACCGACGCUGAGGCGCGAAAGCUGGGGGAGCGAACAGGAUUAGAUACCCUGGUAGUCCCAGCCGUAAACGAUGAACGCUAGGUGUGGGGGGACGAUCCCCCCGUGCCGCAGCCAACGCAUUAAGCGUCCCGCCUGGGGAGUACGGCCGCAAGGCU
rnacentral:rRNA from 1 species